rnacentral:rRNA from 1 species
AAUCAACGCUGGCGGCGUGCCUCAGACAUGCAAGUCGAACGCGAAAGUCCCCUUCGGGGGACAAGUAGAGUGGCGCACGGGUGAGUAACACGUAGGUAAUCUACCUUCGGAUGGGGAAUAACAACCGGAAACGGUUGCUAAUACCGCAUAAUGCAGCGGCACCUAAUGGUGACAGUUGUUAAAGCGGGGGAUCGAAAGACCUCGCGUCUGAAGAGGAGCCUGCGGCGGAUUAGCAGUUGGUAAGGUAAUGGCUUACCAAGGCGACGAUCCGUAGCCGGCCUGAGAGGGCGGUCGGCCACACUGACACUGACAUACGGGUCAGACUCCUACGGGAGGCAGCAGUCGGGAAUUUUGGGCAAUGGGCGAAAGCCUGACCCAGCAACGCCGCGUGAAGGAUG